UAGGAAUAUUAGUAAUGGGCGAAAGCCUGAACUAGCAACGCCGCGUGUGCGAAGAAGGCCUUCGGGUUGUAAAGCACUUUUUGAGAGGAUGAGGAAGGACGGUACUCUCAGAAUAAGUCUCGGCUAACUACGUGCCAGCAGCCGCGGUAACACGUAGGAGGCGAACGUUAUCCGGAUUUACUGGGCGUAAAGCGCGUGUAGGUGGUUUGGUAAGUAGGGCGUGAAAGCUCCUGGCUCAACUGGGAGAGGCCGUUCUAAACUGCCGAACUAGAGGAUGGUAGAGGGAGGUGGAAUUCCGGGUGUAGCGGUGGAAUGCGCAGAUAUCCGGAGGAACACCAGUGGCGAAAGCGGCCUCCUGGACCAUUCCUGACACUCAGACGCGAAAGCUAGGGUAGCAAACGG
rnacentral:rRNA from 1 species